rnacentral:misc_RNA from 1 species
UAGCGCCUGCGCAGUGAUAGUGUU